GAUGAACGCUGGCGGCGUGCCUAAUACAUGCAAGUCGAGCGAACGGACGAGAAGCUUGCUUCUCUGAUGUUAGCGGCGGACGGGUGAGUAACACGUGGAUAACCUACCUAUAAGACUGGGAUAACUUCGGGAAACCGGAGCUAAUACCGGAUAAUAUUUUGAACCGCAUGGUUCAAAAGUGAAAGACGGUCUUGCUGUCACUUAUCGAUGGAUCCGCGCUGCAUGAGCUAGUUGUUAAGGUAAAGGCUUACGAAGGCAACGAUGCAUAACCGACCUGAGAGGGGGAUCGGCGACAUGGGAACGUGGACGCGGUCCAUACUCCUGCGGGAGGCAGCAGUAGGGAAUCUUCCGCAAUGGGCGAAAGCAUGACGGAGCAACGCCGCGUGAGUGAUGAAGGUCUUCGGAUCGUAAAACUCUGUUAUGGGGGAUGAACAUAUGUGUAAGUAACUGUGCACAUCUUGACGGUACCUAAUCAGAAAGCCACGGCUAACUACGUG
rnacentral:rRNA from 1 species